rnacentral:lncRNA from 1 species
CGCAGCUCUGCCACCAACAGCCAGAAGCAGUUAAAAAACUGUUCCUCUCAGCAUGCCCUGCAAGGCGCGCACCGCUGCUGUACCUCCCUUAACGUAUCCGUAACCUCCCUCAACGUAUCCGUACCUCCCUCAACGUAUCCAUACCUCCCUCAAGGUAUCCGUACCUUCCUCAAGCUAUCCGCACCACCCUCUCUUCCAUUUCAUGCGAAGAUUGUAGUCCCGCAGCCCUGCGACCAGCGGCCGGAAGCAGCUAAGAUGCUACUGCUCCCAGCAUGCCCCGCGAGGCGCGCACAGCACAGGCCCUCUCUCAAGGUCACCACCUCCACUCCCGUUGUAUGCUGGGAUUGUAGUCCGGCCGCCCUGUGACUAACGGCUGGAACCGCCUAAGACACCACCCCAGCCAGCAUGGCCGGCAGGAGCGCACCGCGCUGUCUCCCUCCAGGGAUCCGCACCGCCCUACAAUCCUGCUUUGUGCUGAGAUUGUAGUCCUGCAGGCGUACAACUAACAAGCUGGGUGCAGAUAAGAGACUACAGCUCCCCGCAUCCCAAGCAAAGGUCCCUCCUCUACGGAGCCCCUCCACGCGUCCACUGCGGUUCCGCCGUGCCAAGGGGAGCUUGGCUGUUCACGGGCCUCACCUGCUAGCGAGAAGAUAGCUUGGCCGGGCGGCUGAUCUCACCUUGUAAUUCUGACACUGUGUCUCCCGGGCUUGUCGGCUUCAUGACUUGUGCCCAAAGUUUGAUUUCUCGCAGACCAGGAGGACCCAUUGGACCCCCGGGCUGGCUGCAGGGCCCACACCUGGGUUAGACCUCGCACAGGGACGCUGCUGCCACUGUAAUAAAGCGUGCCUACACGCUUCUGAAACUGGUGUAGGAACAACCUCAGUUCUGUGAAAGGCGGACGCAGCAGGACAGAAUCUCCGUGGACAUCUGUCUGGAGGAGCAAUUUUACUGCGACAUUUUAAAGAAACAAAUUUAAUUGAUUUCCAAGGGUGUCCAUCGCGCUUCCUUCACUGCCUUGAUCAUGUCGGGGUCACCACCUGCGGGGGUUUGUCCUGCAGACCCUGACUCAACGACGGAUGAAUAAUGUACACUGACACAGAUCUUAUGCUUGUCAGUCCUGCUGAGCAUCCAGGCCACUUACAGACUCCAAGAAGAGUCCUGUCAGCCACGGCUCUGACUUGUUGGCCCUCCCGGCAUUUAUUUAGCACACAUUUAAUGACAGAAGUCUCAGGCUGGAAACACUCUUUUUGUAGAACAUACAAAUGGACAUUUCUAAGCACAUUGAGGCCUAUAAUGAAAAAUCAAAUAUCCCACAAUGAAAACUAGAAGGAAGCUAUCUGUGAUAAUGCUUUGUGGUGUAUGGAUUCAUCUCACUGACUGAAACCUGAGUUUUGAUUCACCAGGUUGGAAACUCUUUCUGCAGAAUCUGCAAAGAAAUAUUUCUGAGCCCAUUGAGGCCUACAGUGGAAAACUGAAUAUUCUGUGAUAAAACUAGAAACACCCUAUCUGUGAAAAUGCUUUGUGAUGUGUGGAUUUUUCUCAUCGAAUGGAACCUCUGUUUUGACUCACAAGGGUGAAACACUAUUUUAGUAGAAUCUAGGAAGAAACAUAUCUGAGCCCAUUUAUGCCUACAGUGAGAAACUGAAUACCCUGCAAUAAAAAGUAGACAGAAGCUAUUUGUAAAAAUGCUUUGUGAUGUGUGGAUUCAGUGUUAAACUUUUAUUUUGAUUCCACAGUUUUGACACCCUAUUUGUAGAAUAUAUGAAUGAACAUUUCUCAGCCCAUUGAGGCCUAUCAUGUGAAACCAAAUAUUUUAUAAUAAAAACUGGAAACAAGUG